rnacentral:lncRNA from 1 species
AGAUCAAUAAUAUUGACAACACCUUUUCUACACCCACACAUGCUUCAACCUCGUUUCCAAGACCUUAUAUCCUAUUCUUCGACUCAGAAGUUUAACAAUCAUUCCUCUCCUCCAUGGCCGAUGAAUUCGCUUCUCUUCCAUUACAUAUAGACAUUCAUAGUCCCCAACAUUACAUAUUUUGAGGAAUACAUUUUAAAAACUUAG